AGCCCCGUACACAAAAGCGCAUGUGUUGUGAGCUCGAUGAGUAGGGCGGGACACGUGGUAUCCUGUCUGAAUAUGGGGGGACCAUCCUCCAAGGCUAAAUACUCCUGACUGACCGAUAGUGAACCAGUACCGUGAGGGAAAGGCGAAAAGAACCCCGGCGAGGGGAGUGAAAAAGAACCUGAAACCGUGUACGUACAAGCAGUGGGAGCACCCUUCGGGGUGUGACUGCGUACCUUUUGUAUAAUGGGUCAGCGACUUAUAUUCUGUAGCAAGGUUAACCGAAUAGGGGAGCCGGAGGGAAACCGAGUCUUAAUUGGGCGUUAAGUUGCAGGGUAUAGACCCGAAACCCGGUGAUCUAGCCAUGGGCAGGUUGAAGGUUGGGUAACACUAACUGGAGGACCGAACCGACUAAUGUUGAAAAAUUAGCGGAUGACCUGUGGCUGGGGGUGAAAGGCCAAUCAAACCGGGAGAUAGCUGGUUCUCCCCGAAAGCUAUUUAGGUAGCGCCUCGUGAAUUCAUCUCCGGGGGUAGAGCACUGUUUCGGCUAGGGGGCCAUCCCGGCUUACCAACCCGAUGCAAACUGCGAAUACCGGAGAAUGUUAUCACGGGAGACACACGGCGGGUGCUAACGUCCGUCGUGAAGAGGGAAACAACCCAGACCGCCAGCUAAGGUCCCAAAGUCAUGGUUAAGUGGGAAACGAUGUGGGAAGGCCCAGACAGCCAGGAUGUUGGCUUAGAAGCAGCCAUCAUUUAAAGAAAGCGUAAUAGCUCACUGGUCGAGUCGGCCUGCGCGGAAGAUGUAACGGGGCUAAACCAUGCACCGAAGCUGCGGCAGCGACACUGUGUGUUGUUGGGUAGGGGAGCGUUCUGUAAGCCUGUGAAGGUGUGUCGUGAGGCAUGCUGGAGGUAUCAGAAGUGCGAAUGCUGACAUAAGUAACGAUAAAGCGGGUGAAAAGCCCGCUCGCCGGAAGACCAAGGGUUCCUGUCCAACGUUAAUCGGGGCAGGGUGAGUCGACCCCUAAGGCGAGGCCGAAAGGCGUAGUCGAUGGGAAACGGGUUAAUAUUCCCGUACUUGGUGUUACUGCGAAGGGGGGACGGAGAAGGCUAUGUUGGCCGGGCGACGGUUGUCCCGGUUUAAGCGUGUAGGUGUGUGUUCCAGGUAAAUCCGGUUCACUUUAACACUGAGGCGUGACGACGAGGCACUACGGUGCUGAAGCAACAAAUGCCCUGCUUCCAGGAAAAGCCUCUAAGCAUCAGGUAACAUCAAAUCGUACCCCAAACCGACACAGGUGGUCAGGUAGAGAAUACCAAGGCGCUUGAGAGAACUCGGGUGAAGGAACUAGGCAAAAUGGUGCCGUAACUUCGGGAGAAGGCACGCUGACACGUAGGUGAAGUGAUUUACUCAUGGAGCUGAAGUCAGUCGAAGAUACCAGCUGGCUGCAACUGUUUAUUAAAAACACAGCACUGUGCAAACACGAAAGUGGACGUAUACGGUGUGACGCCUGCCCGGUGCCGGAAGGUUAAUUGAUGGGGUCAGCGCAAGCGAAGCUCCUGAUCGAAGCCCCGGUAAACGGCGGCCGUAACUAUAACGGUCCUAAGGUAGCGAAAUUCCUUGUCGGGUAAGUUCCGACCUGCACGAAUGGCGUAAUGAUGGCCAGGCUGUCUCCACCCGAGACUCAGUGAAAUUGAACUCGCUGUGAAGAUGCAGUGUACCCGCGGCAAGACGGAAAGACCCCGUGAACCUUUACUAUAGCUUGACACUGAACAUUGAGCCUUGAUGUGUAGGAUAGGUGGGAGGCUUUGAAGCGUGGACGCCAGUCUGCGUGGAGCCGACCUUGAAAUACCACCCUUUAAUGUUUGAUGUUCUAACGUGGACCCGU
rnacentral:rRNA from 1 species